CCUUUGGCCACCUAAUAACUCUGUUUCUCUUGAAAGUGAAAUAUUAAACCUUAGUGUUCACCCACGUAAUUCUGCUGGUGUUUUAAAACCCGCACAGGACUGGUAUCCUGUUGUGUUUAAUGAUACAGAGAAACGAUUGCUUAUUUUCUUUGUGGACCUAUGGAACCUUUAAAUGUAUAAAUCCUUCAGCAUAGAAGAAAUAAUUGAUGCUUCCACACUUAAAAUGACAGUGCCUCAAAGGAUAGUGUAGCAGGAAGCUGAGAUUUUCUUCCUUUUCCUCCCUGUAAACACUGCUCUUUGUGGUUUGUUGAUGUUUAACAUGUUGUCCUAUUUUACUGCUUGACCAGGGUUUAUAAUUACUGAAUAAAGGGAAUGAUAGGAAAGGGGAUAUUUUCAAGAAAAAAAAUAUAUUGUAGCUGCAUAUAAAGAUCUAGGUUAUUUUUAAAGAAUUGAUCCUGCCAUUUCAUAUAUCAUGUCAGGUUGGAGCCUCUGAGAGCAAACAAGGAAUUAUUUUUAAGAGUAGUGCACGAAUGGCAUAUACGAGAAUAUUAGCUCCAAACUUGACAGCUGAAGUUCUGAAUUACUGUAGUGAAGAAUGACAAAAACAUAUGCACUCACAGUCUGGCUGUGGCAACAGGAAAUAUGAACGUGCACUCAAUAUACAUAAAUUGUGCCCCUUUUUUGUGAUCCUUCUCAGGAGAGGAGAGACGAGGUAGGCUGUUUUUAUUUUAUAGAAUUGUUCUUCUGACGUUACUCUUAUGUGAGAAUUUUCUGGGUGUAAAAAAAAAAAUGAUUACUUGCUGCUUCCCAUUCCAAAGCCCUAGAAUUUCCUUAAUAUCUCACAAAUCUCUGUGAUCUUAAAGAAAUGCUCUCACCACAGUGCAAAAGGGAAGUUAAAAUGAAUUAAAAGCCUGUCUGAAUUAAGACAACCCAGGAGAUCAGUGGGUGUGUAAUAUUAGAGUGUGGUAGACCUUGGUUAAUGUGUGAGGAUGUGUCACCACAUCCCACGUCAGCUUGACAUUUUGUUCCUGGCUGAUUUCAGUGGCA
rnacentral:lncRNA from 1 species